CUCUACUGCUGUCAGGAUCCAUGCUUGGAUACUAUCACACUGUCAUCAACAACUUCCCUUCCCACAGUCACCUUAGGCUUAUGAAGAACACAAAUGUGCUGGCAGCGCGAGCCAAGACCGACUAAACAGUGCUGCCCAGAACGGUUGGAAGGACAUCUGGCCACGGCCUUGAGGCCCUCGGGCACACGUUCUGAGGCACCCGAAGGCCUGCAAACAAGGUCUUUUCCUGGAGCUGGAGGAGGGUGGCACAGCUCUAGAGCCAGAAGAGUAUUUGGGGGCCCUGGCAGAGGGCACAGUGCUUGGUACAGUGCAGCCCCCCUCCCGGCAGGGGCCCCUCUCCCUGCCAAGAAGCUUGGUGAGGCCCCUGCAACCCACUGCCUGCACAAGGCGGAUUAACGGAGUUUCGAGCUGCCCCUUGUGGCCAAAGUGUGCUAUGGCUCUGGUCAAACCAUCUCUGAAGGGAUGCAUUGUAUGUUAAUGUAUAGCUAACUGGGGGCCAUCAUGGAAACAGGCCUGGGAACCAAGAGAGGUUUGGAGGAACUAAGGAUGUUUGGUUUAGAAUAAAGA